CCCUUAGACGUUCUGGGCCGCACGCGCGCUACACUGACCAGUGCAACAAGCAUCCGUCCUUGGCCGACAGGCCCGGGCAAUCUUUGAACGCUGGUCGUGAUGGGGAUAGACUUUUGCAAUUUUUGGUCUUCAACGAGGAAUUCCUAGUAAACGCAAGUCAUCAACUUGCAUUGAUUACGUCCCUGCCCUUUGUACACACCGCCCGUCGCACCUACCGAUUGAAUGGUCCGGUGAAGCCUCCGGAUUGGCGCGCACCUCGGUGCCGCCGAGAAGUUGGCUAAACCUUACCAUUUAGAGGAAGGUGAANCCGUAACA
rnacentral:rRNA from 1 species